rnacentral:rRNA from 1 species
UGGGGAAUAUUGGACAAUGGGCGAAAGCCUGAUCCAGCAAUGCCGCGUGAGUGAUGAAGGCCUUAGGGUUGUAAAGCUCUUUUACCCGGGAUGAUAAUGACAGUACCGGGAGAAUAAGCCCCGGCUAACUCCGUGCCAGCAGCCGCGGUAAUACGGAGGGGGCUAGCGUUGUUCGGAAUUACUGGGCGUAAAGCGCACGUAGGCGGCUAUUCAAGUCAGAGGUGAAAGCCUGGAGCUCAACUCCAGAACUGCCUUUGAAACUAGAUAGCUAGAAUCAUGGAGAGGCGGGUGGAAUUCCGAGUGUAGAGGUGAAAUUCGUAGAUAUUCGGAAGAACACCAGUGGCGAAGGCGGCCCGCUGGACAUGUAUUGACGCUGAGGUGCGAAAGCGUGGGGAGCAAACA